UACGAAGGGGGCUAGCGUUGCUCGGAAUCACUGGGCGUAAAGCGCACGUAGGCGGAUUGCUAAGUCAGGGGUGAAAUCCUGGAGCUCAACUCCAGAACUGCCUUUGAUACUGAGGAUCUUGAGUCCGGGAGAGGUGAGUGGAACUGCGAGUGUAGAGGUGAAAUUUGUAGAUAUUCGCAAGAACACCAGUGGCGAAGGCGGCUCACUGGCCCGGUACUGACGCUGAGGCACGAAAGCGUGGGGAGCAAACAGG
rnacentral:rRNA from 1 species